GACGAACGCUGGCGGCGUGCUUAACACAUGCAAGUCGAACGGAAAGGCACUGCUUUUGUGGGGUGCUCGAGUGGGGAACGGGGGAGUGACACGUGUGUAACCUGCCCUUGUCUUUGGGAUAACUUCAGGAAACUGGGGCUAAUAUCGGAUAGGAGCUCCUGCUGCAUGGUGGGGGUUGGAAAGUUUCGGCGGUUGGGGAUGGACUUGCGGCUUAUCAGCUUGUUGGUGGGGUAGUGGCUUACCAAGGCUUUGACGGGUAGCUGGCCUGAGAGGGUGAACGGCCACAUUGGGCCUGAGGUACGGCCCAGACUCGUACGGUAGGCAGCAGGGGGGAAUAUUGCACAAUGGGCGGAAGCCGGAUGCAGCAACGCCGCGUGCGGGAAGACGGUCUUCUGGGUGUAAACCGCAUUCGCCUGUGACGAAGCGUGAGUGACGGUAACGGGUAAAGAAGCACCGGCUAACUACGUG
rnacentral:rRNA from 1 species